ensembl:lncRNA
CUGUUGUCUUCAAGUUUGAAGCGAUUUUUAAACCAACACAUUUUAAUACUGUAUUGCAUGUUUUAUCUAUUUCUCUAACCCUUUUGUAUGCGAAUUUCCAUCGUCAAUAAACCAUCAUAAAUGACGUUUUUUUCCCAGUGACAUCGCGUAAAAAUGUUACAGGAUCUGUAAUCAUUAGGGAGAAAUAGGAUUGGCCAGAGGCAAAUGAUACAACAGGAUAAAUAAAUGUGCUCAGAAAUGUACGACGUUGUGCGCAAUAAGGAACGUGUCACCAUAGAAAUAGAAUCUACAUUAGAAUUCCGUGCUCGUCACAAUGUCCAAUUAACAUACAUUUGAAUUCCUAAUUCUAUGUGUAUUACUCAGAGGUGAAGUUAUUCACAAUCACAACCAACCUACAGAAUAUCAAUAGCAAACGCGAAUUCUUCAUUCAAGUCAAUCAAAAGUCGUAUAUGUUUUCCUGUUCUCAGUAAGAAAAUGCUCAAGAGGCAAUUCCGUACACUGAAAGCCCAGGGAAGACUCCCGCUAGACCUCCCUCUGAGACCAAUGAAGGCCUGGCUCCUGGCAGGGAAAAGAGUCUUCUUGGAGCGUGAGACAGAGACAUGGAAGAGAUGGAGGAAGGUCUGUGUAGCUGAAUUGACUUGGGAUGCAAAGAGGGGCCUGGAAUUACAGGAGACAGAGAGAGUUCUCCUGGUCAGUUGCCAGAGAGUUCAGGAUGAAUUAAGGAUUUCUGAUUUCACCGUGGAC